CCUACGGGAGGCAGCAGUGAGGAAUAUUGGUCAAUGGGAGAGAUCCUCAACCAGCCAAGCCGUGUGAGGGAAGACGGCCCUAUGGGUUGUAAACCUCUUUUGUCGGAGAACAAAACCCGGGACGAGUCCCGGACUGCGUGUAUCCGAAGCAAAAGCAUCGGCUAACUCCGUGCCAGCAGCCGCGGUAAUACGGAGGAUGCGAGCGUUAUCCGGAUUGAUUGGGUUAAAGGGGUGCGUAGGCGGUCUGUAAAGUCAUCGGUAAAAUUGCGGGGCUAAACCCCGGCGAGCAGUUGAAACUGGCAGACUUGAGUGGGCGAGAGGUACGAGGAAUGCGCGGUGUAGCGGUGAAAUGCAUAGAUAUCGCGAAGAACUCCGAUUGCGAAGGCAGCGUACCGGCGCCAGACUGACGCUGAGGCACGAAAGCGUGGGGAUCGAACAGGAUUAGAUACCCCUGUAGUC
rnacentral:rRNA from 1 species